rnacentral:rRNA from 1 species
GGCGUAAAGGGCUCGCAGGCGGUUUCUUAAGUCUGAUGUGAAAGCCCCCGGCUCAACCGGGGAGGGUCAUUGGAAACUGGGGAACUUGAGUGCAGAAGAGGAGAGUGGAAUUCCACGUGUAGCGGUGAAAUGCGUAGAGAUGUGGAGGAACACCAGUGGCGAAGGCGACUCUCUGGUCUGUAACUGACGCUGAGGAGCGAAAGCGUGGGGAGCGAACAGGAUUAGAUACCCUGGUAGUCCACGCCGUAAACGAUGAGUGCUAAGUGUUAGGGGGUUUCCGCCCCUUAGUGCUGCAGCUAACGCAUUAAGCACUCCGCCUGGGGAGUACGGUCGCAAGACUGAAACUCAAAGGAAUUGACGGGGGCCCGCACAAGCGGUGGAGCAUGUGGUUUAAUUCGAAGCAACGCGAAGAACCUUACCAGGUCUUGACAUCCUCUGACAAUCCUAGAGAUAGGACGUCCCCUUCGGGGGCAGAGUGACAGGUGGUGCAUGGUUGUCGUCAGCUCGUGUCGUGAGAUGUUGGGUUAAGUCCCCGCACGAGCGCAACCCUUGAUCUUAGUUGCCAGCAUUCAGUUGGGCACUCU